CACCAACUCAAAAAAAGGCCACCGAACUCAAGAUCCUUCGGGAAAGUUCUGUCCUCAUCUCCUAAUUCUCCGCAACAAACAAACCCUAACCCUAACAUAAUCCAAUCCACACCUCAUUCACCACCCUCUCUCUCUCUCUGCAACAAUGUCGCACUUCGGAAGAACAGGCCCUCCGGACAUCACCGACACCUACUCUCUCCUCGUUCUCAACAUCACCUUCCGUACAACUGCAGACGAUCUAUUCCCGUAUUUUGAUAAGUACGGCAAGGUUGUCGACAUCUUCAUCCCCAGAAAUCGCAGGACUGGUGACUCGAGGGGUUUUGCGUUUGUGCGGUACAAGUACGCGGACGAGGCGCAAAAAGCCGUGGAUAGGCUAGAUGGAAAAGUUGUUGACGGUCGGGAGAUAACGGUUCAGUUUGCAAAAUACGGGCCAAAUGCCGAGAGGAUUGACAAAGGUAGGAUUAGCGAAUCGUUCUCAAAGUCAAGCUACAGGUCAAGAAGUCGCAGUCCUCGGAGAAGGUACCGUGAUGACUACAGAGAUCGGGAUUACAAGAGAAGAAGCCGCAGUCGAAGUUUGGAUAGGUAUGAUCGUGACAGGUAUCGCGGGAGGGACAGAGAUUAUCGUCGCCGUAGCAGGAGCCGCAGCCGCAGUGACAGUCCUGAUUACUACAGGGGCAGGGGAAGAGGCCGUUAUGAUGAUGAGCGCCGAGGCCGAAGCCAAAGCCGAAGUCGAUCUAUGGAUAGUGCCUCUCCUGCUCGGCGUAGUCCUACUCCUCGCAGAAGUGCUUCCCCACAUAGGUCUCCAUCUCCUAGGGGUGGAAGUCCUGAUAGGCAUAGUGGUGAUAGAAGGUCCCCAACUCCACAUGGUGUUUCGCCCGCAGACCGUCCUGCUGAUUCUCGAAGUCAAUCCCCUUGAAAGUCAGAUGUUGAUGAAUGAUUUAUGCGGGUUGUGUGGAAGUUCAUGAAGGCAUAUUGAGUAGUGCACUUGUGGCUGUUAACACUAAUGUUGAGGAGGCUUGAUCGUCUUGCAUGUUCUUAUCAGAAUGUUAAGUGCUAGUUUUGUUAUGUUCGGGAACAAUGAGUGGGGCUUGAUAGGCGGAUGUUGAAUUAUGGCCGUUGAUGCUGUAUCUAAAUUGUAGAUGGAUGAUCGUGAUAGCGAUGCUGGUUGCAACAGUAUUGCUGGUUUUAGAAGUAUGAUUUAUCUAGCAGUAUGCUGGUUGGAGGGACUGUAUGUGUUAACUAAUUUUCUCUGGAUGGUAUAAUCUUUGUUUGCCCUAAAAGAGUUUCUAGUUGCUGUGAUGGUCUAAAAAGAUGGACACAAGUUGAAUGUGUAUUUAACCAGUAGCUGAUGAUGAACAUAUGAGAUGGACCUGUGAUUCAUUAACCGUGAUGUGCAUACUGAACAUGAACUGCAAAUUCAAAAUGUGAACUGGUAAAUGCUGGUGUGAGUUAUGCGGCCAGAAUAAUGAAACAUGUGAGAUGUUGUAGCACAUGGGUCCAUGACCGUAGCUGUGAAGUGGUUGCUGAUGCUUGUACUGUUGUAUGAUAUACAUUGGUUCGUGACUAACUUUGAAGUAUUAGUGAAUAACAACUGCUACCUGGCUGUUGCUGCCCUUUUGCUUGAUGAUGGCUUCCUGGCUGUCUUGCUGGCUUGCAUCACUUCCUAAAGAUCUGGUAUAAAACAUAUGCCUGCCAUAAGUGGUGUGUGUUGAUUGAUUCAGAGUGUUAUCUCAUUGUUAUAAUGCUUUAAAAUGUUAGCUUUUAUAUUAUUUGGGUUGUCUUAAUAAUUAUUUUUGUCAUUCAUGUCGCCGUAAUUUUAACACUGACUUUAUCUGAUAAUUCCAAAGUUCACCUUUUACUUU